CACCUACGGGAGGCAGCAGUGGGGAAUUUUGGACAAUGGGCGCAAGCCUGAUCCAGCCAUGCCGCGUGCAGGAUGAAGGCCUUCGGGUUGUAAACUGCUUUUGUACGGAACGAAAAAGCUCUCUCUAAUACAGGGGGUGAAUGACGGUACCGUAAGAAUAAGCACCGGCUAACUACGUGCCAGCAGCCGCGGUAAUACGUAGGGUGCAAGCGUUAAUCGGAAUUACUGGGCGUAAAGCGUGCGCAGGCGGUUAUGUAAGACAGAGGUGAAAUCCCCGGGCUCAACCUGGGAACUGCCUUUGUGACUGCAUAGCUGGAGUGCGGCAGAGGGGGAUGGAAUUCCGCGUGUAGCAGUGAAAUGCGUAGAUAUGCGGAGGAACACCGAUGGCGAAGGCAAUCCCCUGGGCCUGCACUGACGCUCAUGCACGAAAGCGUGGGGAGCAAACAGGAUUAGAUACCCUGGUAGUCCACGCCCUAAACGAUGUCAACUGGUUGUUGGGUCUUCACUGACUCAGUAACGAAGCUAACGCGUGAAGUG
rnacentral:rRNA from 1 species